UACAGUAGUACUAGUGGUAUUAUGCUGCAGGAGAGGAAGGUACUGCAGGAGUACUAGUGGUAUUAUGCUGCAGGAGAUGAGGGUACUACAGUAGUACUAGUGGUAUUAUGCUGCAGGAGAUGAGGGUACUACAGUAGUACUAGUGGUAUUAUGCUGCAGGAGAGGAAGGUACUGCAGGAGUACUAGUGGUAUUAUGCUGCAGGAGAAGAGGGUACUGCAGUAGUACUAGUGGUAUUAUCCUGCAGGAGAUGAGGGUAGUACUAGUGGUAUUAUGCUGCAGGAGAGGAAGGUACUGCAGUAGUACUAGUGGUAUUACGAUGCACAAGAGGAAGGUACUGCAGUAGUACUAGUGGUAUUACGAUGCACAAGAGGAAGGUACUGCAGUAGUACUAGUGGUAUUGUGAUGCAGGAGAGGAGGGUGUUUUAGUAGUACUAGUGGUAUUAUACUGCACGAGAGGAAGGUACUGCAGUAGUACUAGUGGUAUUACGAUGCACGAGAGGAAGGUACUGCAGUAGUACUAGUAGUAUUGUGAUGCAGGAGAGGAGGGUACUGCAGUAGUACUAGUGGUAUUACGAUGCACGAGAUGAGGGUACUGCAGUAGUACUAGUGGUAUUGUGAUGCAGGAGAGGAAGGAGUUUUAGUAGUACUAGUGGUAUUUUGAUGAAGGUCCACUUCCCCUAAGCUGCGUAGUUGUGAUGG
ensembl:lncRNA